GAUGAACGCUGGCGGCGUGCCUAAUACAUGCAAGUCGAGCGAACGGACGAGAAGCUUGCUUCUCUGAUGUUAGCGGCGGACGGGUGAGUAACACGUGGAUAACCUACCUAUAAGACUGGGAUAACUUCGGGAAACCGGAGCUAAUACCGGAUAAUAUUUUGAACCGCAUGGUUCAAAAGUGAAAGACGGUCUUGCUGUCACUUAUAGAUGGAUCCGCGCUGCAUUAGCUAGUUGGUAAGGUAACGGCUUACCAAGGCAACGAUGCAUAGCCGACCUGAGAGGGUGAUCGGCCACACUGGAACUGAGACACGGUCCAGACUCCUACGGGAGGCAGCAGUAGGGAAUCUUCCGCAAUGGGCGGAAGCCUGACGGAGCAACGCCGCGUGAGUGAAGAAGGUCUUCGGAUCGUAAAACUCUGUUAUUAGGGAAGAACAUAUGUGUAAGUAACUGUGCACAUCUUGACGGUACCUAAUCAGAAAGCCACGGCUAACUACGUG
rnacentral:rRNA from 1 species